CCCUUUUUAAUCAACCAAUUUUUUUCCCAAAAAGGGGGCCCUGAACUCCUGACCCCCCCUUUUUUCCUCAUUUCAAUCACCCUGAUAUAAAUUUAGUUUUAUCACUUACAAUAGGAAUGGUUAGAAUUCCCCAAUAAUUCUUAUACAUAUAUACCAUUGAUAUCAACAUAUUUCAUUUUUGAUAAAUGAAAGGCAAAAGUUUUCUAUGGGUAGAAAAGGAUAGUGGGAAGCUUUCAGAUUCACACCAUGCCGGUGGCUGGGUUUUUAUGACCCUCGUUCUUUGCGGACUAACUAUUUAGGCCAGUGGUGGAUAAUAGUGUGCGUGCAUUAAUCUUCUAUACCUUCUUAAUCAAUAUAUUCAAAUACUGACGGCAAGUGUUGUAAUGUAUCAAUGUCAUCAAUGUCUUAUUUGAGACCACCGUGCUAUUUACAUGUGGGAUCGAGAAUGCAGGGGAAGGAAACUUGUCAAUUAUGUUUAUUUUUAAGCCAAAAUAAAAUGAGCCGCCGUAAAAUUAACCUUGGGUAAUCCUCAAAUUGAUACAAGAGGCUUUACGGGCUGACUACUAAAUACAUGUCUUAAUCUCAAAAUAACUCGGCAGCGUCAAAUAACAGUUGAUGUAAGGCUCGUCUCGGAAAAGGGGGGGGGGGGGUGUCUUUUUUUCUGUCUUCUUUUUUUUAGUUAUAUUUUUAAAAACUUACACUUUUUUCCAUUAUACUCUUUCUUUCACUAUUCUUUAUUCCUUUUUUUUUCUUUGUACUUUGUUCUCUAUUCUGUUAAUUAACAUCCAUACCCUCUUAUGUGGACUUACGGUAGUUUAUUUUUUAGUUCUGGCAGAGAUAUUAGAUACAAUACAGUGGCGGAUCCAGAAAUUUUCAUAAGUGGGGGCCCACUGACUGGCCUAAGAGGGGGCCCGCUCCAGUCACGCUUCAUUGAUUCCCUAUAUAAGCAACCACAUUUUUUUCUCAAAAAGGGGGGGGGGCGGGCCCUGGCCCCCUAAAUCCGCCUCUGCAAUAUAUAUAUGUCU
rnacentral:lncRNA from 1 species